UACGUAGGGUGCGAGCGUUUGUCCGGAAUUAUUGGGCGUAAAGGGCUCGUAGGCGGUUUGUCGCGUCGGGAGUGAAAACCAGGUGCUUAACACCUGGCUUGCUUUCGAUACGGGCAGACUAGAGGUAUGCAGGGGAGAACGGAAUUCCUGGUGUAGCGGUGAAAUGCGCAGAUAUCAGGAGGAACACCGGUGGCGAAGGCGGUUCUCUGGGCAUGACCUGACGCUGAGGAGCGAAAGUGUGGGGAGCGAACAGG
rnacentral:rRNA from 1 species